rnacentral:rRNA from 1 species
UACGAAGGGGGCGAGCGUUGUUCGGAUUUACUGGGCGUAAAGGGCGCGCAGGCGGCCAUUCAAGUCAGGCGUGAAAGCCCCGGGCUUAACCUGGGAGGUGCGUCUGGGACUGGGUGGCUAGAGAUCGGGAGAGGAGAGUGGAAUUCCCAGUGUAGAGGUGAAAUUCGUAGAGAUAUGGAGGAACACCAGUGGCGAAGGCGACUUUCUGGUCUGUAACUGACACUGAGGCGCGAAAGCGUGGGGAGCAAACAGG